AACGAACGCUGGCGGCAUGCCUAACACAUGCAAGUCGAACGAGACCUUCGGGUCUAGUGGCGCACGGGUGCGUAACGCGUGGGAACUUGCCCUUAGGUUCGGAAUAACUCCCCGAAAGGGGUGCUAAUACCGGAUAAUGUCUUCGGACCAAAGAUUUAUCGCCUUUGGAUGGGCCCGCGUUGGAUUAGCUAGUUGGUAGGGUAAAAGCCUACCAAGGCGACGAUCCAUAGCUGGUCUGAGAGGAUGAUCAGCCACACUGGGACUGAGACACGGCCCAGACUCCUACGGGAGGCAGCAGUGGGGAAUAUUGGACAAUGGGCGAAAGCCUGAUCCAGCAAUGCCGCGUGAGUGAUGAAGGCCUUGGGGUUGUAAAGCUCUUUUACCCGGGAUGAUAAUGACAGUACCGGGAGAAUAAGCUCCGGCUAACUCCGU
rnacentral:rRNA from 1 species